rnacentral:rRNA from 1 species
GUAAAGCGCGCGUAGGCGGCUUGAUAAGUCGGAUGUGAAAGCCCUGGGCUCAACCUGGGAACUGCAUUCGAUACUGUCGAGCUAGAGUGUGGGAGAGGGUGGUGGAAUUCCCGGUGUAGCGGUGAAAUGCGUAGAUAUCGGGAGGAACAUCAGUGGCGAAGGCGACCGCCUGGCCCAACACUGACGCUGAGGUGCGAAAGCGUGGGUAGCAAACAGGAUUAGAUACCCUGGUAGUCCACGCCGUAAACGAUGUCGACUAGCCGUUGGAGACCUUAGAGUCUUUAGUGGCGCAGCUAACGCGAUAAGUCGACCGCCUGGGGAGUACGGCCGCAAGGUUAAAACUCAAAUGAAUUGACGGGGGCCCGCACAAGCGGUGGAGCAUGUGGUUUAAUUCGAUGCAACGCGAAGAACCUUACCAGGUCUUGACAUCCAGAGAACUUUCCAGAGAUGGAUUGGUGCCGCAAGGAGCUCUGAGACAGGUGCUGCAUGGCUGUCGUUAGCUCGUGUUGUGAAAUGUUGGGUUAAGUCCCGUAACGAGCGCAACCCUUGUCCUUAGUUGCCAGCGCGUAAUGGCGGGAACUCUAAGGAGACUGCCGGUGACAAACCGGAGGAAGGUGGGGACGACGUCAAGUCAUCAUGGCCCUUACGACCUGGGCUACACACGCGCUACAAUGGCCGGUACAGACGGUUGCGAACUCGCGAGAGGGAGCCAAUCCGAGAAAACCGGUCGUAGUCCGGAUUGCAGUCUGCAACUCGACUGCAUGAAGUCGGAAUCGCUAGUAAUCG